rnacentral:rRNA from 1 species
GACGAACGCUGGCGGCGUGCUUAACACAUGCAAGUCGAACGGAAAGGCCCUGCUUUUGUGGGGUGCUCGAGUGGCGAACGGGUGAGUAACACGUGAGUAACCUGCCCUUGACUUUGGGAUAACUUCAGGAAACUGGGGCUAAUACCUGAUAGGAGCUCCUGCUGCAUGGUGGGGGUUGGAAAGUUUCGGCGGUUGGGGAUGGACUCGCGGCUUAUCAGCUUGUUGGUGGGGUAGUGGCUUACCAAGGCUUUGACGGGUUGCCGGCCUGAGAGGGUGACCGGCAACAUUGGGACUGAGAUACGGACCAGAGUCGAACGGGAGGCAGCAGGGGGGAAUAUUGCAGAAUGGGAGGAAGCGUGAUGAAGCAACGCCGCGUGCGGGAUGACGGCCUUCGGGUUGUAAACAGAUUUCGAAUGUGACGAAGAGUGAGUGACGGUAAUGGGUAAAGAAGCACCGGCUAACUACGUG